rnacentral:rRNA from 1 species
AUUGAACGCUGGCGGCAGGCCUAACACAUGCAAGUCGAACGGCAACACAGUAAGAGCUUCCUCUUACGGGUGGCGAGUGGCGGACGUGUGAGGAAUCUAUCGGACUGUCCGUUUUCGUGGGGGAUAACGUAGGGAAAGUUACGAUAAUACCGCAAACUCCCUACGGGUGAAAGCAGGGGCUCUUCGGACCUUGCGCGAUUGAAUGAGCAGAUGUCGGAUUAGCUAGUUGGCGGGGUAAAGGCCCACCAAGGCGACGAUCCGUAGCUGGUCUGAGAGGAUGAUCAGCCACACUGGAACUGAGACACGGUCCAGACUCCUACGGGAGGCAGCAGUGGGGAAUAUUGGACAAUGGGCGCAAGCCUGAUCCAGCCAUGCCGCGUGUAUGAAGAAGGCCUUCGGGUUGUAAAGUACUUUUGUUGGGAAAGAAAAGCAUCAGGUUAAUACCCCGGUGUACUGACGGUACCCAAAGAAUAAGCACCGGCUAACUUCGUG